rnacentral:rRNA from 1 species
AUUGAACGCUGGCGGCAUGCCUUACACAUGCAAGUCGAACGGCAGCACGGGUGCUUGCACCUGGUGGCGAGUGGCGAACGGGUGAGUAAUACAUCGGAACGUACCUUAUCGUGGGGGAUAACGCAGCGAAAGCUGUGCUAAUACCGCAUACGCCCUGAGGGGGAAAGCGGGGGAUCGCAAGACCUCGCGCGAUUAGAGCGGCCGAUGCCUGAUUAGCUUGUUGGUGGGGUAAAAGCCCACCAAGGCGUCGAUCAGUAGCUGGGCUGAGAGGACGAUCAGCCACACUGGGACUGAGACACGGCCCAGACUCCUACGGGAGGCAGCAGUGGGGAAUUUUGGACAAUGGGGGCAACCCUGAUCCAGCAAUGCCGCGUGAGUGAAGAAGGCCUUCGGGUUGUAAAGCUCUUUUGUCAGGGAAGAAACACCGGCUCUAACACAGUCCGGGAAUGACGGUACCUGAAGAAUAAGCACCGGCUAACUACGUGCCAGCAGCCGCAGUAA